rnacentral:rRNA from 1 species
AGUGAACGCUGGCGGUAGGCCUAACACAUGCAAGUCGAACGGCAGCACAGUAAGAGCUUGCUCUUACGGGUGGCGAGUGGCGGACGGGUGAGGAAUACAUCGGAAUCUACUUUUUCGUGGGGGAUAACGUAGGGAAACUUACGCUAAUACCGCAUACGACCUACGGGUGAAAGCAGGGGAUCUUCGGACCUUGCGCGAUUGAAUGAGCCGAUGUCGGAUUAGCUAGUUGGCGGGGUAAAGGCCCACCAAGGCGACGAUCCGUAGCUGGUCUGAGAGGAUGAUCGGCCGCACUGGAGCUGAGACACGGUCCAGACUCCUACGGGAGGCAGCAGUGGGGAAUAUUGGACAAUGGGCGCAAGCCUGAUCCAGCCAGACCGCGUGGGUGAAGAAGGCGUUCGGGUUGUAAAGCCCUUUUGUUGGGAAAGAAAAGCAGCAGGUUAAUACCCCGCUGUUCUGACGGUACCCAAUGAAUAAGCACCGGCUAACUUCGUG